UGGCGGUCAAGCCAAGCCAGGCCUGUGCAGUUUAAACUGUCCGUACUUCGUUCCCUUUCUGGUCAUCUUAUCAGCGGGUAUGCUGACGGGUACAUCGGCAAUUAUACCAUCUUACAUGAUGGUAGCAAGAUCGGUAGCACAAAGGGACCAGUCUCUGGCAGCUGGGUCUUCUAACUUUGCCACAACUUUAUUGGGUCUCUUACCGUCACCAAUACUGUUUGGUAAAGUGAUAGACAGCACGUGCCUGCGGUGGUCAGCAGAAGGAGGAUACUGCAUGUUGUACGACAGAGAGAUGUUCCGGUACCUGGUCAUUGGUGUUAACCUUGCUCUCAGAAGUGUCCACAUUAUGCUCCUCGUCGUUCUGUUGCUGCUGGUCUGCUACA